CAGCGACCCUUGUAGUUACUUGAAUUUCCGCGGGUGACUUCAGUGUUUACCUACUUUACCUUCACACUGUCUUUUGUCUUUACAAUAUAAUUAUAUAAAACACGCUGACACACAUUAAGACAUCGCUGGUUGACGUUUGAAACAGCCGCACGUACGUGUUGGAAGCUAAGCUAACCGGAGUGAUGGGACAGGCUAACGCUAGCAAGCUAGGCUAACGCAACGCUAGCUUAAGUUUUAUGUUUUGAGUUUUGUGUUUGACGGUCAGUCCUCGAUCCCGGAGGAUUCAAGUCGUGAUGUCCCUGAGCGCCGUCCACGGAGCUCUGUCGAGCCUGAAGGCGUGUCAGGCGGACAUCGGGACGGGGAUGGACAUCGUGACAGACGUGGCGAUGGACCUGGCGGAAACUCUUGAUGGAGAUGUGAACCCGGGCAUGAAAGAGAUGGAGGACAUGAUUUUGGAGUGUGCCAGGCUGGACAGGGAGAUCAACUUCUUUGUUGAUGUUGUGCAACAAGUCACAUCUGAGAUUGCCGCACAGCAGCCAGAGGCCAUGUUCAGCCUGUCUGACAAAGUGAAGGAGCAGUUCACGGAGAGAACGGCCAGACUCUCCGACGCUGAUCUGCACCAGCACCAGAAAGUGGUGGCCUUCAAGGAGAGCGUCAAGAGCUCUCUGAACCCAGCCAACCAGGAGUCGACAGAGAACAUGGAGGAGCUAGAUGAUGACAUCGCUGUUACACAGAGCCAAGUCAACUUCACCUGCCCACUCACACAGGUGGAAAUGGUGAACCCAGUGAAGAAUAAGAAGUGUAACCACUAUUAUGACGAAGGAGCUAUACUGGGCCUGAUGAGAACGAAACACAGCCAGAAGAAGAAGUGCCGCUGCCCCGUGGUGGGAUGUGGGAACAUUGAUGUGAAAGAGACGGACCUCCUUCCUGACCAGAUGCUGAGGAGAAAGAUCCAGAGUCAAAAGAGACACAUGUAGUGGCUGGUGAACGUCUCAUAAGACUCAUGCCUCGAUGCACAUGAUGCAGUAAUUUGUCAGUACCACAAGGGAGCAGCCUCCGCACAAGGACACAAGGAUUAACAGGGUGUCUGCGGCUCGGGAGAUAACUGUAGCAGGAUCUUGGAGAUAACAAAUGAAGUUCCUAAAAAAACGAUGACAACAACAACAACACAGUUUUGCGAAGGAGCCCUAAACAAACUGUUCUUUAAGAUCUGGAGCUCAAAAGGAGGAAGUGUAAUGGCUGCAGCUCGGGACACUGUGAGACUGUGUGUCUGUAUGUCCGAGGAGGAUUUGACCUCGUGCCGGAAGUGAGCGCAGGAGUCCUGCAGUGCCAGAGCUGGACGGAGUGGACGGAGAUCAGCGGCCGCUCCGAUACGAAUGACACUCUGAACUCUGGUUCGGUCCAGGUGUCGUGCUCCUCCCCCUCUCUGGGUUCCACAGGUUGGCCUCUCCCACCCCCCCAAAAAAAGGAGAGUGUGGCCGAUUGUGCUGCUUCCACAGUUGACACACUGCAGAUUUGUCAAGCAAAACUGUUUUUCUCUGCGGUCGCCAACAUCACCUUCCUCUCUGCAGUGAACAUAACCAUUUCCUCUCGAGCAGGGUUGAGUUUUUUUCAUUUUUUAGGCCCUCAAGUGACAGGAGAACUUUUACAGAAAGUAUUGUGAGUAGAGAAAAUCUACUUGUGUGUGUGUGCACACUGAAGGGUUUGGAUUAGGCCUUUCUGUCAUUUUGACAUGUCAUUGGAGGAAAAGUACAGGUGUAAAUUAUAUAAAUGUGAGCACAGGGUGUAUUUCAGAGAUAGUUUCUGUUUUGAUAACCCCCCUCCCCCAACCAAACCAAAAUCAGGUUUUUACAGUUGUCAUCUAAAACCACUUCUCUAGCAUUGAUGGCGAAGGACAGUGUGAAGAAAAAGGCGGAAGGAUGUCUCCUUUCUUCUUUAACAUUGCUCCUUCUGUCCUUCAUACAGAAUGUCUGCUGCUCUCUCGUCAGAGAAAUGUUGAUAUAUUUUUAUAUAGAUUUCCAUUUUUCAUGGGCCCAUGCAUCUUUUGUAGACGUGCAUUAAAACUCCUUUUGUUAAAGAGAAUGUAUGGAUGUAUAA